AUUCACCUUCAGCUGCUCCAACGCCACAAGUACAGAAGCUGCACAAACACAUUAACAAUCUUCCAGAAGAAUACAGGGAGGCUGCUAAAACAUUGUUGGUGGCCUAUCAAAAACGCCAUGAGGAUGAUAAAAUCAACAAAUUCUUCAAAUGCUUCGUUGAUUUCGUGAC